rnacentral:rRNA from 1 species
AAACCUGGGCGGCGGCUUACACAUGCAAGUCGAGCGGUAACAGGAGAAGCUUGCUUCUCGCUGACGAGCGGCGGACGGGUGAGUAAUACUUAGGAAUCUACCUAGUAGUGGGGGAUAGCUCGGGGAAACUCGAAUUAAUACCGCAUACGACCUACGGGAGAAAGGGGGCAACUUGUUGCUCUCGCUAUUAGAUGAGCCUAAGUCGGAUUAGCUAGAUGGUGGGGUAAAGGCCUACCAUGGCGACGAUCUGUAGCUGGUCUGAGAGGAUGAUCAGCCACACCGGGACUGAGACACGGCCCGGACUCCUACGGGAGGCAGCAGUGGGGAAUAUUGGACAAUGGGGGAAACCCUGAUCCAGCCAUGCCGCGUGUGUGAAGAAGGCCUUUUGGUUGUAAAGCACUUUAAGCAGUGAAGAAGACUCUAUGGUUAAUACCCAUAGACGAUGACAUUAGCUGCAGAAUAAGCACCGGCUAACUCUGUGCCAGCAGCCGCGGUAAUACAGAGGGUGCAAGCGUUAAUCGGAAUUACUGGGCGUAAAGCGAGCGUAGGUGGCUUGAUAAGUCAGAUGUGAAAUCCCCGGGCUUAACCUGGGAACUGCAUCUGAUACUGUUAGGCUAGAGUAGGUGAGAGGGGAGGUAGAAUUUCAGGUGUAGCGGUGAAAUGCGUAGAGAUCUGAAGGAAUACCGAUGGCGAAGGCAGCUCU